UCUGUUCACAGUUUAAUAACGAUAGGUCUCAAUGCUACUGAUAGAACGGGGAGUAGGCCGUUAAAAGGUCACUCAGGGAUGCAGAAUAUCGCGUACUGGUAUGCUCUUUGUUUGAGAACUGGACGUGAGAAAUAAUUCAACAUGGGUUCCAAGACAAAAACACUGGUUGCUGUCCUCCUCACUGCGACUGCCGUCUACAUCGCCACCCUCUACGUGGAUGAUUUUGAUCCCGAUUUAUAACAGAAAUCAAAAUGAUAAUAGGCUGAUAUAAGCAUAUCGGUUUUAUCACAGCCAUGGUGAGAGGCAAGAGAGUGCUCAUUACCGGGGCGUCCUCUGGAAUUGGAGAACAGGUGGCGUAUCAUUUCGCCAAGAUGGGAGCAAACAUUGUUUUGACGGCGCGCAGAUAAAACCUCCUAAAAAAGGUCAUCGCAGAGUGUAACAAGUUAUCUCCGGCACCUGAGUCUAACCAUGUGUACACAGUAGCUGAUCUGAGAGACAUGGAGGAGACAGCUAGAGUUAUCAAGGUACACAGUACACACACACACACACACACACACACACACACAUUGAGCUGGGAGACAUGGAAGAGACAGCUAGGGUUAUCAAGGUACACAGUACACAUGUAAUAGGGUGAAACAUUACGAAAGCAUUCCCGCCUGUAAAAUAUUGUUGUAUGGUGAAACCAAUUGUGUUAGAGGUGACUAUACAGUGGGUCCCUCUAGUGUAAAAAAAGUGAGUAGUUCUAAAAGGUUGGAGAGUGUGUACUCCAUGCGGAGUUCUAACAUGUUUAUUGGCACACGUGUUUUCCAUGUUAGAGAGGGAAAUCCAUGCGGAGUUGUGAUACACACACGUGGAAGUAAUGUAAAACUGUGAAAUAAUAAUAAAAAAAAAAUUGAACCAGCAAGUUUUAUUACUUUAUCUACAACACUGCCCUUUUGGCGGUCACGUGUGCUUUGUUAGUCACGUGAGCGGGAAAUAUAAAUUACCCGCUCAACAGUAUUCUUGAGUUAUUUUUACUCACACUGUCACGUUGGCAUGUAUGUAUGUACAUGAAUAAAGAAGCUUAUUCUUCUGAGAUUCAGUCGAUGUUUGUUGUGAUACUCGGUUACAAAUGGCGCAGUCGACAGGAUUCAGCUUUUCCUGUUUUCAACGAUAUUGACGAUCCUCUGAACUUUACGGAGAUCUUGGGUAGAUAGCAAACAAACGGUGACUGUACUUCUCAGUUGAACAAUAGCACAUUCCAUCCACCGUAUGGGAGGGAACGGAUUUUCAACCAGUCACACCCUUCUACAAGGUGAGAUCUCAAAGUAAUCGUCAAUUUGUCAUCGUAACGACUGAUAGUUACCUGUACGUAAAGAUACACGAAGUGCUUA